GUGCUCAUUUCGGCAGCACAUAAACUAAAACUGGAAUGAUUCCAAGAAUAUUAGUGUGGCCCCUGUGCGAGGAUGAUACACAAUUUCAUGAAGCAUUUUGUACUUAA
rfam:Ictidomys tridecemlineatus contig052463, whole genome shotgun sequence.